rnacentral:rRNA from 1 species
UGGGGAAUAUUGCACAAUGGGCGCAAGCCUGAUGCAGCCAUGCCGCGUGUGUGAAGAAGGCCUUCGGGUUGUAAAGCACUUUCAGCGAGGAGGAAGGGUUCAGUGUUAAUAGCACUGUUCAUUGACGUUACUCGCAGAAGAAGCACCGGCUAACUCCGUGCCAGCAGCCGCGGUAAUACGGAGGGUGCAAGCGUUAAUCGGAAUUACUGGGCGUAAAGCGCACGCAGGCGGUUUGUUAAGUCAGAUGUGAAAUCCCCGCGCUUAACGUGG